CAGAAAACUAGGAUGUGAAGAAACAGAAACAGAAAAGAAGAAAAAGAAAAACGGUGUCGCAGAAGAAGCUGUCAUAGCUUGUGUUGUUGUAGUGAUUUUGUUAGUCGGUUCUGUUUCUUGUGUUAUUCUGUGGAAACGGUACAAUGUCAUUUCCUAUUUUCCACAGAAGAACAUAUUUAAGAAACAAAGAACAUUUAUAAAUAGUCAACCGAAAGAGGAAGAGGUAAACGAAGAUCAUUAUUCAGAAAUAAGGGAAUCUAUGAUGGUCAGACCUAUGACUGCAUACGGAAGACACUUGUCUGUUAUCAGAACAACGUAUGUCGAUCCUAUGGACCAGUAUCACCAUAUAGAUUUAAAGUCAUCAGUGAGACGACAAAUUCUGAACGAACAUGGUUUGGGAGAAAAUAAAGAUGAAUACAUUGAGCCAAUUGACGUACCAGUAAAAAGUUCGAGAGAAAAUAUUUAUGAACCACUUGGAAAAAAAUCAUCUGAAAAAUAUACAUCACUCAAAGACGAUGACAGAUCAAAAUGCGUCGUAGAAAUGUAUACCGUAGAAAAAAGCACAGAUAACUGUCUGGUAUUGGACGAACAGCUUGAAAGUGGAGAUGAAAAAUGUCAAAGUGAAGAAUGUAUCCAUGAUCAAGAAUUAAGUAAUAUAAGUAAGGAAGAACUUAUAACAACUGAAACAACCGAUGAUAAUGAUAUAAAAAUAUCCGUUAUGGUAGGAAAUAAACAAUUUUACAUUGAUCUUAAGGCUAAUAAUGAACAAAGUGAUUCAGGAACUAUAGAAAGAACAAUAAAAUGUGGACAAAUUAAACACUAAACGCAAACGUCAUGUUUCUUUUAAUUGUACAAUAACGAAAGAUCACUAACAUCUCCAUUUAUUUUAAUUAUAUAAAUAUUUUCA